rnacentral:sRNA from 1 species
UCUGGUGUCAUUCUCGCAGUUCGAACACUCUGGUUUGAUUCAAAGCUUGAAGCAGCACUUCAUUCGUUCAAUGAUGGAGAAGCACAAGAAUGGAUGCAAGAGCUUACCGACUGAGUUGCUUGAAGGAAAGCAAUGUGUUCGAAGUUGAUUUUCCUGAUGUCCUGCAAAUAAAAGCCACUCUCCUGAAAGCAGCAAUGGACUCUACAAACGAUCACCAGUGUCUAAUGAUGACAGCAAAAUUCAUAACUAGAGUGGCGGCCGAUAUCAGAAGCAAUAAUUGGCUCGAAAAACUUCAAACAUCCGGGUUUGUGCCGGAGAAGAACACAGUGUGGGUUCUGGAAGGCAUCCUCUACUACUUAACCCACUCUGAGGCCACGCAAGUACUUGAAACCAUAGCAGACAAGUGCUCGCUUACUCACACGGUGCUUCUGGCGGAUUUUAUGA